rnacentral:rRNA from 1 species
GACGAACGCUGGCGGCGUGCUUAACACAUACAAGUCGAACGGAAAGGCCCUGCUUUUGUGGGGUGCUCGAGUGGCGAACGGGUGAGUAACACGUGAGUAACCUGCCCUUGACUUUGGGAUAACUUCAGGAAACUGGGGCUAAUACCGGAUAGGAGCUCCUGCUGCAUGGUGGGGGUUGGAAAGUUUCGGCGGUUGGGGAUGGACUCGCGGCUUAUCAGCUUGUUGGUGGGGUAGUGGCUUACCAAGGCUUUGACGGGUAGCCGGCCUGAGAGGGUGACCGGCCACAUUGGGACUGAGAUACGGCCCAGAAUCCUACGGGAGGCAGCAGUGGGGAAUAUUGCACAAUGGGCGGAAGCCUGAUGCAGCAACGCCGCGUGCGGGAUGACGGCCUUCGGGUUGUAAACCGCUUUCGCCUGUGACGAAGCGUGAGUGACGGUAAUGGGUAAAGAAGCACCGGCUAACUACGUG